CCCCUCCAGAAUCCUUAACCCUGGGGCCCAGAUAUUAGUCUGAGUGGUUAGGACAAGGAGGAAAAGUACAAUUGAACUGGAUUUGGAGUCUUCAGUGACAGUCAAGUUCAUUUCAAACAUAU
rnacentral:snoRNA from 1 species